rnacentral:rRNA from 1 species
UACGGGGGGAGCAAGCGUUGUUCGGAUUUACUGGGCGUAAAGGGCGCGUAGGCGGCGACCCAAGUCAGAUGUGAAAGUCCUGGGCUUAACCUGGGGACUGCAUUUGAUACUGGGUUGCUUGAAUUCGGGAGAGGAUAGCGGAAUUCCCAGUGUAGAGGUGAAAUUCGUAGAUAUUGGGAAGAACACCGGUGGCGAAGGCGGCUAUCUGGACCGACAUUGACGCUGAGGCGCGAAAGCGUGGGGAGCAAACAGG